GUUGUAAUCAUGUUUUCAUCAUGUUCAACGUUUAUGUUCUCUACAAUGAUGUCUAAGUAGUGAAUAGGUUUAUGAGGAUGGGUUAGAGUAGUGUAGAAUUCUCAGUAUGCUAGGUGGUUGAGUAUUGAUUGAUAGAUCCCUUCUGGAUUAGUUGUUCUUAAUGCCUAUUGCUUUCUGAUCAACUGGAAUUUGAGCCCAGACAUUUCCGCGCCCAAAAGGUGUUCGAUGAAAUGUCUGAACUACUAAUUCCAGAGAUUCGUGGCCCUGUACCAAGGUAUUGGUUGCAGUGAGCGUUUUGGCUUUAACUUGUUGAUUCGUAAUGCCUGUUAGGUUAGCUCUCGUCAAUGGUGAUUGAGUCUGGGACUAGGUUAACUUGAGGGUCUCUGUUGCGGUGGCACUUAGAUUUGGUUAAUGAACUUGUUGUCUGGGGAUAAUUUAUUGAGCAUGUCAAUCACCUGUAAACUGAGGAAACGAAACUACUCAAUUACCCCAUCCUCGGGAAUUCUUUAUCUGAUUGAUUUUAUUGUUUACUCUACUGUUGUUUACUCCAUCUUGUUACCUGUUGUUUAGUUUUUGCACUUCUCUCCUGUUACUCGACCUGAUACUCGACCACCUAGUUGUCUGGCAAUAGACUGUGCAGUCGAGUGUCUCUAUUUUGUUUACUGCCUUUUACUCGACCAAGUCACUCGACCACAUCCAGUGCUCUACAACGAGCUGUGUUGGUCGAGUGUUUUACUGUUUCUGUUUGAUUUUCUGUUUUCUGCAUGUUCACUUAGGACUGCUAGAACACACCAAAACCUGUUAUUUCUUGGCUUGACUUAGUGUCUUCUGAUCACAUCUUGAUUGUUAGCAUUACACCCAUUUGGAUUGACAACCUUCAGUACUACAACGACAUGAUAGUGCUUUAGGAGUAA
rnacentral:sRNA from 1 species